CUUGUGGCUGUUGUCAAGUGUGACCGAUCAGUGUAAUGCCAUGCACAACGUGGAGCACCGUUGUCAUGCUCCCCACUUUCUCUGAGGGGCAGGAUAACUCGAGCCAUGUGCUGGUGUCCUGCCCCGCCCCGUGGGAGCCUGGUGGAUAUGGCAGAGUGUUGGUGUGGGUCUGCCGGAAGUAAGACAGUCCUUAAGGAUUGUCUGAAACCCCACUUGUUCACACCAGCUCUCUGCCGUGGCUGCCAGGGUCCUGCCGUCACUUCAGAAGCUGAUGUGCUUGUGGAUGCCUGCCACAGCACAGAAGCGCUUGCUUCCAACCUCGCUUCUGUUUGGUAAGUACCCCUUGCAAGCCAUCGCGGGACUACGAGGGACAGCGCAGGAGCACCAGCAUCGCACAAACAGUGCAACAAGGAAAGUGCUGUUGAGCAGUUCUUUGGCUAGGCGUUAGGUGUUGGGAUGUCUACUAAUCCCUUGCCUUUCAGGGAACUAAAUAUGCAGAGUUUUUUCAGGUCUGUCUUCUCCAGUAAAGUUCAGGAAGGAGUGGAAUCCUAACAAGAUUGCAGUAUGCAAGACCUUUGUCUUCAUCUUGCUGACAUGGAUAGGGGAUGCUGUGCUGAAUUGGAUCAAGCAAGUUUGAGGAUUAAUUGGAUGCUUGAAGUACACACCUUCUCAAAUUAUGGCAUCAAAGCAGAUGAAAGUUACCAACAAGAAAACCUCUGCUCAAACACAAAUGGUGAGUGAAUUCUUUUUACACUUUUUAUGACACUUGCUUUCCAGAUCUUGGAGUGGGAGGAUUCAGGCUGUCUGCCAGCAUGCAGCCUAUAGAUUUCAGUCUCUCCCUGAGCAUGUAAGUUCUUGGUAUGCGGUGUGCUGUCCCUAACUUACGACAAUGCGUAUUAUCCGUUGGUUAUGUUCCGUCACUAAGUUGAGGUGCUGGUGUGUCCCGGACUGGAUAGGAAGGCACACUUACUGUAUUCACUAUCAAGGGAGAGAGCCAGGAAGAGAGCAAACUGGGGAGAGAAAGAGAGCUGAUAAGAGAGAGCAAGCUGGUAAGGGAAAGUGAGGGAGCCAGGGAGAGACAACCGGGGCGAGAGACAACCGGGGCGAGAGACAACCGGGGCGAGAGACAACCCGAGAGAGAGAC